UACAGAGGGUGCAAGCGUUGCUCGGAUUUACUGGGCGUAAAGCGUACGCAGACGGUGAGGCAGGUCGGAUGUGAAAGCCCUGGGCUCAACCCAGGAACUGCAUCCGAAACCCCCUCGCUAGAGUAUGGGAGAGGGAAGCGGAAUUCCUGGUGUAGAGGUGAAAUUCGUAGAUAUCAGGAGGAACAUCUGCGGCGAAGGCGGCUUCCUGGCCCAUUACUGACGUUCAGGUACGAAAGCGUGGGUAGCAAACAGG
rnacentral:rRNA from 1 species